GGAGAGAUGGCUCAGUGGUUAAGAGCACUGGAUGUACUUCCAGAGGACCCAGGUUCAAUCCUUGACACCCCC
rnacentral:tRNA from 1 species